CGGCCGUGUCUUGGCCUGUCAUUGAAACUAGCUUCUUUCAUCAUGUCCGGCUAUAUUGAUCUCUGUGCAUCGGCUGCUGUGAUGCGUUGUCAUUUUGGGGAGGCCUUUAGCCCUUGAGUCGGCCGUAUAUAUAUAUAUAUAUGCCUAGCUUUUUCCUCUCUGGAUGCUUGUGAGUCUCAUUGCAUAGGAUAGCCGACAUGGAGGUGCGCCAUCAUUCGCUUUUCGUUUCUUUUUUUUUGUGGUUCCGCCUGCUCGCUUGGGUGCGUAUCUGUUUGAUGUAGCGCCUGUGCACAGAUAAAUAGAUGCCUUCAAUGCACAAGGAAGAACUUAGUCACAUACCUGCCCGUCACGAUGAGGACAGCAUGCGAACAGCUGAUUCGGCACGAUGAUGGCUGGCGCACCCCGCGCCGGAUCGUUUGUUCUGCGCAGACCACAAUAGCGACCUUUUCUUUGUUUUGCUCCUCUGUCUUUCAGCGUUGAGCCCGAUAUGCUGUGUGCGAUUCGCGGCUUGCCCGAGAUUUGAAGCACGCCUCCUCUCGCGCUGUGAUCGUGCACCGCAAUGGCGUGAUGACGCACAUGUCGCGUGCACUGCAUGGGCUUUCCCCGCCGGGUGUCGAUCGCUGCCCUGUACGCUGCUUCCGAAUGGCUAACUGUGAGCUCAUUGUGCCCAGGCGCAUGCCUAUCCGCGAGCCCCUUCCGCUUGACACACCCACGCUUGUCAAUGUCGUGCGAAUUCCGCAGAGCGCGGAAUGCUCCUGCCACCUCCGACUCAUGGCAGCGUCCCACCUGCCGCGGCACAUGCGGGCAAGCCAUCCGUACACGCCCUCUGUGAUAUCCGCGGAAACGGGCGGUGACGACAGCGGCCCACACAAACAACAACGUCGUACUGGAACAGGCCCAAGGAUGCCAAAGUGCGGGCACUGUGCGCGCACGCUGUCAAGCACAGCUGGCAUGAUGCAUCGCAUCCGACGAAAGCAUCCAGAGGUCAGCAGAGCGCGAGUGAGGGAGAAAAAAGGCGCAAAGAAGUCCAUACAAAUCAGCCCCAAUGUGCGUGUGUGUGCGGGCGAGGGCGGCAUCUUCUGCAUCCGACGCGGUGGACUGAUGAGGUGCAGAUACCCGAAGCGUGUCGAGAGCUCCCCUGAAUGGCACUUUCGAGUCGGCCAGAGUCGCGUGUGGAGAUUAUUCGCACCAUAUUACGGCAUGCGGCGGCUUGAGGCAACCGAGGGAGGGGCAUGGCGUGCAGGCGGAGGACAGGGUCUGAGAGGGCCCUGGCCUGCGGCUGGCCCACCUCCUCUCUGUGCUCAUGCGGCACGCACCUACACCAGCCCCUGCGGCCUGCACGGCAGACGCCGCCGCCUCCGCCCUCGAGCAGGACUCUGAAGGUGGCCCUGUGGGAUCAUGGCAUGCAGUGCACCCUGGCCCGUGUGGCGCCGGUGGCGCUGCACGCGUGCGAGGAAUGGAGGAGGAAGGACGAGGUGGUGGGCCCGUUAGCGGCAUGGCCCGAUGCAACGGUGGCCGGCUCGUCGUGGACGGCGCGGAUGUAGCCGCGGUGCGACAGGGGUGUGUGGGCCGCGGCUGCAUGCGUACACGUGUCGACCCGCUCUUGGUGGAGUGAGGCGUUGAUAACGAAAGAUACUUUCUCUGACUUCUCUUUCAUUGUGUGCACUUGCUGGUGUUCUCGUUCUCCUUCUGGUGCUUUAUUCUCGUGCUGUGCUGCUACGCUGUUGCAACGAUGCCCAACAUGGACUCCUGCGAGCAGCCUUGGUGCGGGGGCGGCCGGUGCCGUGCUCGCGCGUGUCCGUUUAUGUGUGGAGUCCCGAGCAUCUUCAGUCGACAAAGGUGACUUUUGGCGAGGCGGUGAAGUACGUGAUUUCGUAGAUGGCAUGAAGCGAACCUUUAGCGUGUUGGGUGCUUAUAUUCUUGUUUACUUGUGUGCCCGUGCGUGUGUGUGUGUAUUGUGUUCUGCCUUUCUCACUUUACCAUUCCCUCAGGACUCCCUGCUUAUUCCUCUGUGCAUGUUUGUGUGUGUGUCUUCUCAAGAAUUCGCGUGGAGUCGACAAACGCGUAGACUUGACCUCAGCGUGCACGACGGUGCAACUGUGCGAAGUGCAUGGUGGCUAUGUCGGCCGUUGUGCUGGUUGUUGGCUGUCGAAGCCCUGACAGU
rnacentral:misc_RNA from 1 species